rnacentral:tRNA from 1 species
GGAGGAAUACCCAAGCGGCUGAAGGGGCGGGCUUGGAAAGCUCGUAGACAUGUAACAGUGUGCGAGGGUUCAAAUCCCUCUUCCUCCGCCA